UACGAAGGGGGCUAGCGUUGCUCGGAAUCACUGGGCGUAAAGCGCACGUAGGCGGCUUUUUAAGUCAGGGGUGAAAUCCUGGAGCUCAACUCCAGAACUGCCUUUGAUACUGAGAAGCUUGAGUCCGGGAGAGGUGAGUGGAACUGCGAGUGUAGAGGUGAAAUUCGUAGAUAUUCGCAAGAACACCAGUGGCGAAGGCGCCGCUCUGGGCCGACACUGACGCUGAGGAGCGAAAGCGUGGGUAGCAAACAGG
rnacentral:rRNA from 1 species